UUAGGUUAAGUUAUGAAGGGCGCACGGUGGAUGCCUUGGCACUAGGAGCCGAUGAAGGACGGUAC
rnacentral:rRNA from 1 species